UUGAUUCUGGCUCAGGAUGAACGCUAGCGGUAGGCUUAAGACAUGCAAGUCGAGCGGGCAGCGAUGCCAGCGGCGCACGGGUGCGUAACGCGUAUGUAACUUGCCGCUAACUGGGGGAUAGCCUUCCGAAAGGAAGAUUAAUACCGCAUAAUAUCUUUUUCUUGCAUGAGAGGAAGAUUAAACCUACGGGGGUUAGCGAUAGGCAUGCGUAUCAUUAGUUAGUUGGUGAGGUAACGGCUCACCAAGACUACGAUGAUUAGGGGUUCUGAGAGGAUGGUCCCCCACACUGGCACUGAGAUACGGGCCAGACUUCUACGGAAGGCAGCAGUCGGGAAUAUUGGGCAAUGGGCGGAAGCCUGACCCAGCCAUACCGCGUGCAGGAAGAAGGUCCUAUGGAUUGUAAACUGCUUUUGUUUGGGAAGAAAAAGAGGGUUCGCCCUUUAUUGACGGUACCAGACGAAUAAGCCACGGCUAACUACGUGCCAGCAGCCGCGGUAAUACGUAGGUGGCAAGCGUUAUCCGGAUUUACUGGGUUUAAAGGGUGCGUAGGCGGGUGAAUAAGUCAGGGGUGAAAGCUGGCAGCUUAACUGUCAAAUUGCCUUUGAUACUGUUCAUCUUGAAUGCGGUUGAGGUAGCUGGAAUGGGUAGUGUAGCGGUGAAAUGCAUAGAUAUUACCCAGAACACCAAUUGCGAAGGCAGGUUACUAAGCCGUGAUUGACGCUGAUGCACGAAAGCGUGGGGAGCAAACAGGAUUAGAUACCCUGGUAGUCCACGCCCUAAACGUUGGAUACUAGAUGUUGGCGAAAUACGGUCAGCGUCGUAGUGAAAGCGUUAAGUAUCCCACCUGGGGAGUACGCUCGCAAGGGUGAAACUCAAAUGAAUUGACGGGG
rnacentral:rRNA from 1 species